rnacentral:rRNA from 1 species
CGGUAAUACCAGCUCUCCGAGUAGUGUGGAUGUUUAUUGGGCCUAAAGCAUCCGUAGCUUGCUAAGCAAGUCCCCUGUUAAAUCCACCGAUUCAAUCGUUGGAUUGCGGGGGAUACUGUUUGGCUAGGGGACGGGAGAGGCCGACGGUAUUUCCGGGGUAGGGGUGAAAUCCUAUAAUCCCGGGAGGACCACCAGUGGCGAAGGCUGUCGGCUAGAACGCG